CAAACUGGAGAUGGCGACCGGCGCACGGGUGAGUAACACGUAUCCAACCUGCCGAUAACUCGGGGAUAGCCUUUCGAAAGAAAGAUUAAUACCCGAUGGCAUAAUAGAACCGCAUGGUUUGAUUAUUAAAGAAUUUCGGUUAUCGAUGGGGAUGCGUUCCAUUAGGCAGUUGGUGGGGUAACGGCCCACCAAGCCUUCGAUGGAUAGGGGUUCUGAGAGGAAGGUCCCCCACAUUGGAACUGAGACACGGUCCAAACUCCUACGGGAGGCAGCAUG
rnacentral:rRNA from 1 species